rnacentral:lncRNA from 1 species
GGGGAGGGUUGGGAUCCUGCUAACAUGUUUAACCCCGCCACAUUAUUUAUGUAUGUGCCUGUCCCAAGUCAGGAGCCUGUAAUUCAGUGGUUGUCGUUUGUUUAUGUGUUACAUAUUUGUUUUUCGUUCAUUUUUUUUUUACAUAAAUAAGGCCGUUAGUUUUCUCGUUUGAAUUGUUUUACAUUGUCUUAUCGGGGCCUUUUAUAGCUGACUAUGCGGUAUGGGCUUUGCUCAUUGUUGAAGGCCGUACGGUGACCUAUAGUUGUUAAUGUCUGUGUCAUUUUGGUCUUUUGUGGAUAGUUGUCUUAUUGGC